UGAGGAAUAUUGGUCAAUGGGGGAAACCCUGAAGCAGCAACGCCGCGUGGAGGAUGAAGGUUUUAGGAUUGUAAACUCCUUUUGUUAGAGAAGAUAAUGACGGUAUCUAACGAAUAAGCACCGGCUAACUCCGUGCCAGCAGCCGCGGUAAUACGGAGGGUGCAAGCGUUACUCGGAAUCACUGGGCGUAAAGAGCGCGUAGGCGGGAUAGCAAGUCAGAUGUGAAAUCCUAUGGCUUAACCAUAGAACUGCAUUUGAAACUGUUAUUCUAGAGUAUGGGAGAGGUAGGUGGAAUUCUUGGUGUAGGGGUAAAAUCCGUAGAGAUCAAGAGGAAUACUCAUUGCGAAGGCGACCUGCUGGAACAUAACUGACGCUGAUGCGCGAAAGCGUGGGGAGCAAA
rnacentral:rRNA from 1 species